rnacentral:rRNA from 1 species
GAUGAACGCUGGCGGCGUGCCUAAUACAUGCAAGUCGAGCGAACAGACGAGGAGCUUGCUCCUCUGACGUUAGCGGCGGACGGGUGAGUAACACGUGGAUAACCUACCUAUAAGACUGGGAUAACUUCGGGAAACCGGAGCUAAUACCGGAUAAUAUAUUGAACCGCAUGGUUCAAUAGUGAAAGACGGUUUUGCUGUCACUUCUCGAUGGAUCCGCGCCGCAUUAGCUAGUUGGUAAGGUAACGGCUUACCAAGGCAACGAUGCGUAGCCGACCUGUGAGGGGGAUCGCCCGCCCUGGAACUGAGCCACGGUCCAGACUCCUACGGGAGGGAGCAGUAGGGAAUCGUCCGCAAUGGGCGAAAGCCUGACGGAGCAGCGCCGCGUGAGUGAUGAAGGUCUUCGGAUCGUAAAACUCUGUUAUUAGGGAAGAACAAAUGUGUAAGUAACUAUGCACGUCUUGACGGUACCUAAUCAGAAAGCCCCGGCUAACUACGUG